UCGGAAGGCCGGAUGGCUGCUGCGGUGGCGUGCCACCGGAGAGGAAAGUCCGGACUCCAUGAAGCAACGGUGCCGGGUAAUGCCCGGGCGGGGUGACCCGACGGAAAGUGCCACAGAAAUCAAACCGCCCCAUUGGGGUAAGGGUGAAACGGUGGGGUAAGAGCCCACCGCGCGGCUGGCAACAGCGGCGGCACGGCAAACCCCACCGGGAGCAAUGCCAAAUAGGACCCCCGCGCGGGCCAGGGUUCCCUUAGGAACCGCCGCUAGGUCGCUUCAGCCAAGAGGGAUCGGGUUGGCAGCUUGAGGUGCCGGGCAACCGGUACCCUAGAUGAAUGGCCAUCCCCGGAGCAAUCCGGGACAGAAUCCGGCUUACAGGUCUUCCGGGCGC
rnacentral:RNase_P_RNA from 1 species